AGGGUGUAAACGCUGCAGACUUGGUGUUGGAAGCCCUUUGGGGGCAUUCAGUGCCGGAGAGAAGUUGUUAAGUCUGCUACUUGGGAGUACGUCCGCAAGGAUGAAACUUAAAGGAAUUGGCGGGGAGCACCGCAACGGGAGGAGCGUGCGGUUUAAUUGGAUUCAACACCGUAAAACUCACCAGGGAAGACUGUUACAUGAAGGCCGAGAUGAGGACUCUGCUAGAUUUCAGAGAGGUGGUGCAUGGCGUCAGUGACU
rnacentral:rRNA from 1 species